GCCCAUAAUUUGGGCAUAAUCAUCGCUGAUGUAGAUAGCCUAGUUCAUGAACGACGUGCGCAGGGUCUUCCCAGAAGGGAUGAUGAUGAUGAUGAAUAGAUAUCUGUGGGAAGAAUGCACUCAGAUGUUUAUUUCUCAUUAUCAUCCACAAUGUGAACACAACUGACGCUGUUCAUCGUAGGUUGUUACAUUCUCAAUUUCCUCCUGGUUUUCCCUAUCCUUCCCCUGAAUAUACAUUGGUUCAUUCUCCUCUGCACUAUAUCCUCCCAGGACUGCUCCUAACAACCUGGGCUGCCUCUGCUUUGUUGCUUCUCCCACUUGCUUUUCUAAUUAAAAAAAUAUUGGAUUACAA